AUUGAACGCUGGCGGCAUGCCUUACACACGCAAGUCGAACGGUAACAGGUUAAGCUGACGAGUGGCGAACGGGUGAGUAAUGCAUCGGAACGUGCCCGGUCGUGGGGGAUAACGCAGCGAAAGCUGCGCUAAUACCGCAUACGAUCUAAGGAUGAAAGCGGGGGACCGUAAGGCCUCGCGCGAUCGGAGCGGCCGAUGUCAGAUUAGGUAGUUGGUGGGGUAAAGGCGCACCAAGCCAACGAUCUGUAGCUGGUCUGAGAGGACGACCAGCCACACUGGGACUGAGACACGGCCCAGACUCCUACGGGAGGCAGCAGUGGGGAAUUUUGGACAAUGGGCGAAAGCCUGAUCCAGCAAUGCCGCGUGCAGGAAGAAGGCCUUCGGGUUGUAAACUGCUUUUGUACGGAGCGAAAAGGUCUCCUCUAAUACAGGGGGCUCAUGACGGUACCGUAAGAAUAAGCACCGGCUAACUACGUGCCAGCCGCCGCCGUAA
rnacentral:rRNA from 1 species